AGGAUGAACGCUGGCGGCGUGCUUAACACAUGCAAGUCGAACGAUGAAGCCGGAGCUUGCUCUGGUGGAUUAGUGGCGAACGGGUGAGUAACACGUGAGUAACCUGCCCUUGACUCUGGAAUAAGCGUUGGAAACGACGUCUAAUACUGGAUACGAGCUUCAGCCGCAUGGCUAGGAGCUGGAAAGAAUUUCGGUCAAGGAUGGACUCGCGGCCUAUCAGGUAGUUGGUGAGGUAAUAGCUCACCAAGCCUACGACGGGUAGCCGGCCUGAGAGGGUGACCGGCCACACUGGAACUGAGACACGGUCCAGACUCCUACGGGAGGCAGCAGUGGGGAAUAUUGCACAAUGGGCGCAAGCCUGAUGCAGCAACGCCGCGUGAGGGACGACGGCCUUCGGGUUGUAAACCUCUUUUAGUAGGGAAGAAGCGAAAGUGACGGUACCUGCAGAAAAAGCACCGGCUAAC
rnacentral:rRNA from 1 species